rnacentral:lncRNA from 1 species
UGGGGGCUAUGAAAAAGUUUCAAAUUUAGUAUGGAAUAUAAUUAUGGUGCAAUAAGUCCAUCAAAAAAUUGAGUCAAUUGUAUCAUUUUUUUAAUAUUGAAUUUAAUGUAUAGAAUAAUGAAGAGAUAGAAUAAGACAUAUCAUAUAUAAUUGUCAAGUAGAUUAUUAUGCCCCAAAUCAAAAACAUAAUAAACACUACAUAUCUCCAAGAUGAACUACACAAAUAUGCAAAGCUACCUAAAUAACAAACCUAAUCAUUUCAUAAUAAUU